UAGAAUUUAUAGUAGUCUAUGGGGAUUGUGGAGGCUUGGGGAUGUGUUCGAAUAAUAAAAGUUGGUGGGUGGGAUGAUGUGGGAACUCAACAGCUGGACAGCAAUAUGUUUCAUUAGCAUAAUGAUCAUAGUUUAUACUGGUCCAUUACGUGGUGCUUCUGUUAUUUUACACACAUUCGGCGCAAGGGCUAUGACUUCCUAGGUUUGUUUUGUUCCACCAAACCAAACCUGGGUUCAGCUCUUGCAAGCGUGUAGGAUUUUUAUCCAAAGUGCUACUACAACUUGAGGAUUUAAAAAUGUAGUUUCGGGUAUCUUCCACGGGACCUUUUUGGCUUGCCUAGUCAGCGGCAAGGAGGGAUUGGUUUCAUUCCUUGACAUGCAUGUAUGUAAAUUCUAAAGAUGUACACCGUCCGGUUUCUAUCUUUCUAGCAACUUCUGGCCCUGUAUUUGCUGCAAAUCACAUCACAAUAUCACAAUUACACAUGUGUAUAGAGAGAAAUUAAGAGUCAUGGUAACAAGUUAAAGUGAUGAACCUCACUCAAAUUUUCACCUGUUCUUAAUUAUGUACAGAAAGAUGUGUGUUAUACUACUACUUUUGAUUGGUUAUUAUUAAUUAUAUUAAUUCACUACUCUUUUUUUUCAAUACACAAAAAUGUGAUUUUCUUUAAAACAAAACGUGUUAUAUAUACUUUCAUAUAAUUUGAGUAGGACAAUUUCCUGCUUUUUUUCCCCAGCAAAGAUGAACAUGCAUAUUGAUCAUUGGUAUUAGCGGUACGAAAAACUCAUUUAUAAGUCAGAAACCAAAAGAAGCUUUACAGCACCCACCACCCUUGGUUAUAACCUAUUUAUAUUAUGCAACUAAAAUAUGAGAUAACCAAUGAUAUACAAAAAAGAAUAAGACCCUUAAGAAGGCACUAAAUCACACGAUAUGCCCGAAAUUCUCAUCAACAACCAAAUGCCGAAGGCCAAGACAUCCCCCACUGACAAUUUCCUGCUAUGUAAUAGCUCCGGCACAAAAAAUAUGGCAUGCUUUCACUACAAGAGAAGAGCGGAUAGCUCUGAAAUCUGAAAGGAUUUUCUAGACAGCAGAGAACCGGUUUAACUAUCCGUUAGUAUUUACUAAGAUCCUAUAAAAAAAUGUUUUUUUCUUCAUGUUUUUUAGCAUAAUUUUCAUUAUCAAAUAAAAUUUACUCCUAUAGUUCGUUUAGAUAAUUUUUUUUAACAAGCCUUCAGAGAGAUAAAAAUAAGAAAGUAAUUUUUAUUGAAAUUAUCUCAUUUAAUUUUUCGAUAGAAAAUUUUAAUUAUACAUAUGUUUAUUUCAACUAAUAGAAAAAACUAAAUUUAUUUUCUUCUCUUAUAAUUACUUACUAAAAAAACUCCAUCCAAACAAAAUUUAUAUAUAAUAAUAAGAUGUGUUUCAUUCAUUAAAAUUACAGUAUCAAAUCGAACAAAAAAUAAGAAAAAAUAACACUGGAUAAGACAUAAAUUACAUUACAUUUUUUUAUCCUAUAAUUCACUUAACAAAUAAUUGACAUUACAAAUAAAAUAAUAUAAAAUUUACUAAAAUAUUCUUAUAAAAUUUGAUCUUAAUAAAAUUUAUAUCAAAUUCAAUAUGUUUAUCCAAAUAAAAGAGAGAGAUUUAAAUAAAAAAAAUCUAGUGUUUCCUUUUUAAAAGGAUUAUGUGAGUAAGUUUUUUUUUUUUUCCGUUGUUAAAUAGAUAAAAGUAAGAUAAAUAUAUCUUUUUAAUACUUCAUAUAUGUGGUACAAAAAAAAAAUCAAUUAUUCCCUUUUUAAAUUAAAUGGGAAAAAAAUUAUUUAUUCCGUUAAGUAUCGUAAUUUUUAACGAACGGACACUAGGUAUGUUAACUUUACAUGUUUAUUUAAGAGCAUUCCUCUUAAUUGUAACACGUAUUUUAGAGUUUAAAAUUAUACAAAUAAUAUCAUUCCUCUUGUUGCUUUCCACGCAUCUUUUGUAAAACCACAAAUUUUAGAAUUUUACUCAUCUACGAUCCAUCGAAUAGAUCAAUUCAAAUGUUGUAAGUGGUAAGUGGUAACGAAAAUGAAGGCGUUGAGAGGAGGGGUGAAAGGGGGUGAGUGUGGAUUCCUCUCAGUACUUCCUAAUUUCCACUGGAAGGAACCUUCUUAAUUAGAUUAUGCAUUUAUCAUCAAACAAAUCAGGUGUAAUUAGAAUGAGUCAGUCACAAAGACGAACGCAAACGCAUACAUCUAUAUGUAUUAAUUAACAUCAUGCUAUAAUUUGCACCUCUGACAAUAAAACAUAAUUGAAAGUUCAAGAUUCUUCGGCAAACCUGGAGAGACGGAGAUAGAAACAUGCAUGCAAUAAUUCAACCACCAACAACAACGUGAAUGUGAGGGAAAAUCGUCCGAGGUGUGUUGAGAGUGGAGAUUUCCUUUCUGCAAAAUUAUUACUCCAAAGAUGUUUAAGUAAAACACGUCGUCUAGUCUUUG
rnacentral:lncRNA from 1 species